AAUAUAGUUGGACAGAUUUCACCCUUCGAAACUGGGCUGGAGUUGACUCCCAUUUCAAAAUCUGCCUUUUCUUCCCAGGUGGGUCCAGCCCCACUCCAAGUCCUGUGAAGCUCCCUCUGAGUCAGCUCUUUCUUCGCCUUCUUGUCCAGCAUGUAUUUUGCUCGACGUGGGUGGUGUUCACUUGUGGAGCAGCUCUUCAGCAGCCUGUGGGAAGCUGAUCGGUCUUCUCAGUGGGGCAGUUUGGGUUCAGGAGGGAUAAUUUAAGACAAAGGCUAUCAGCCGGUUGUCCAUCCUAGGAAAAGUGGUUGAACCCUCCCAGGGGCUGCCUUCCAGUGGAAUGAGGAGCUGCUUGACAUAGGGAUCUUUUCUCGGUUCCUGGCCAGAGCUCCACUCCUGACCACUCCCCAUCAAGCUGGCC
rnacentral:lncRNA from 1 species